AACGAACGCUGGCGGCAGGCUUAACGCAUGCAAGUCGAACGCAUCCUUCGGGGUGAGUGGCAGACGGGUGAGUAACGCGUGGGAACGUGCCCUUCAGUUCGGGAUAACCCAGGGAAACUUGGGCUAAUACCGGAUACGUGCGAGAGCAGAAAGAUUUAUCGCUGAAGGAUCGGCCCGCGUCUGAUUAGCUAGUUGGUGGGGUAAUGGCCCACCAAGGCGACGAUUAGUAGCUGGUCUGAGAGGAUGAUCAGCCACAUUGGGACUGAGACACGGCCCAAACUCCUACGGGAGGCAGCAGUGGGGAAUAUUGGACAAUGGGCGCAAGCCUGAUCCAGCCAUGCCGCGUGAGUGAUGAAGGCCUUAGGGUUGUAAAGCUCUUUCGUCCGGGACGAUAAUGACGGUACCGGAAGAAGAAGCCCCGGCUAACUUCGUGCCAGCCGCCGCAGUAA
rnacentral:rRNA from 1 species